rnacentral:rRNA from 1 species
CUUGGAUAACUGUGGUAAUUCUAGAGCUAAUACAUGCACCAAAGCUCCGACCGUAAGGGAAGAGCGCAUUUAUUAGAAGAAAACCAAGCGGCUUCGGCCGUUCAAUGUUGACUCAGAAUAACUAAGCUGAUCGCAUGGUCUUGUACCGGCGACGUGUCUUUCAAGUAUCUGCCUUAUCAACUUUCGAUGGUAGUUUAUCUGACUACCAUGGUGGUGACGGGUAACGGAGGAUAAGGGUUCGACUCCGGAGAAGGGGCCUGAGAAAUGGCCACUACGUCUAAGGAUGGCAGCAGGCGCGCAAAUUACCCACUCUCAGAAUGAGGAGGUAGUGACGAGAAAUAACAAGACCGUUCUCUUAAGAGGCCGGUCAUUGGAAUGGGUACAAUUUAAACCCUUUAACGAGUAUCUAUGAGAGGGCAAGUCUGGUGCCAGCAGCCGCGGUAAUUCCAGCUCUCAAAAUGCAUAGAAUUAUUGCUGCGGUUAAAAAGCUCGUAGUUGGAUCUGUGCUGGCGUGCCGGUCUAUCUUCGGAUUUGUACUGGUUUCGCUGGCUUUCCUGUUGUAUUUGGCCCUGUGUCCUUUACUGGGUGCAGGUGUCCAGUGCAGCAAGUUUACUUUGAAAAAAUCAGAGUGCUUCAAACAGGCGUUUCGCUUGAAUGUUCGUGCAUGGAAUAAUAGAAGAGGAUUUCGGUUCUAUUUUAUUGGUUUUAUAGACUGAGAUAAUGGUUAACAGAGAC